rnacentral:rRNA from 1 species
UACGGAGGGGGGCUAGCGUUGUUCGGAAUUACUGGGCGUAAAGCGCACGUAGGCGGCUUUGUAAGUUAGAGGUGAAAGCCCAGGGCUUAACCCUGGAAUUGCCUUUAAGACUGCAUCGCUAGAAUCGUGGAGAGGGUCGCGGAAUUCCCGGUGUAGAGGUGAAAUUCGUAGAUAUCGGGAGGAACACCAGUGGCGAAGGCGGCGACCUGGACGGACACUGACGCUGAGACGCGAAAGCGUGGGGAGCAAACAGG